rnacentral:lncRNA from 1 species
ACAUCACAUUGAUAUGAGAUAAUUGGACUUCAUUGCUCUCAUAAUAUGUUCACAAGAUGCAACUUACAAGCAUCCACAAGAGAACUCUACAAAAGUUCCCGAAGCACUUAGAACAACUACCGGCUAAUCCAGCAUGCGCUGCCUCUCUUUUCUAUGGGUCGCACUCGUGUGCCUCUGCAAUUCUAUAUACAUACAGACAACGAUGUCCACCUUUUAUAGGCAGUCCUGCAUGCUGAUUCAAGCCUCAAAGUCACUACAACCGUUCACAUGGUCUGCACCAUGACCAAGCUCCACGCCACCAAGCCAAAAAUAGUUGUGUGAACCUCUCCUUGCCAAUUGCCACAUCCCGGUCAAAAUUUGAUGGCGCCACCAGCCAUCCAAGCUAGUCUUCCUUCUUUUUCUAAUCGUCACUUGACCAAACCAAGUUCACCAUGCAACAUGCAACUCAGUUCUCUAGCCCACCAAACAUCUCGCAUGACAUCCAUGACCGAUAGGACCUCAGUUUCUCCCUGAACUUAGUCCCGAAACUUCAGUUCCUCCUUGAACCUAGUUCCAGUCCGUCAUCGACCACGUUCUGCCUCAAGCUAACACCUACACAUGAACAAACAAGCGACAAGUACGAGCCCAAGUCCAAGACUUGACUCAAGUCAAUCCGCACAACACCUCACACGAGCAUGUCAUGCAACAAUUCCAAAUCACCUGCUAUCACAACCAUAUAUAGACAACACAUGCAUAUCAAAUUAUGCCAUAAUUCAAAUUACUUUGCAAUGCCAAUUUCAUAUCAAGCCAAUUUUUCAUUACAUGAUCUCACAACAAGUGAUUUAGCAAACUGUUGGAGAUGCUCUAACCCUAUGCUCUAAGUAUGAUUAUGAGAUAGGUUGGUCCAAGUCCAAGUGAUGGAGCUAGAUAGCAUUCAAGUGAUUGAGAUGGCCAAAACAAUGUUGUUCAAGUGCUCCAACUUGAAAAAAAAAGAAAGAGAAAAACAAAAUUCUACGGAGAUGAAGUCAAAGGUAUCAAUAGAGAUUUUAUUUUGCCAAUUAAGAUGCAAAAGAGUAUGUGGUUGGAUUUAUGAUCGAUAGUUAUACUAUUAAGAGAGGGUGAUCUCAUGGUUAAUACAGUUAUCGAGUGCUACUAGGUGAUUUAACUCCAUGCAUUUACAUUAGACAUAGUGAGUGUUAACAUCCUUUGAAAAAAACAAUUUAGAAAAUACUAACUCACGUGCACAAGUAUUAAAAAUACUUUGGAGCUAGCACUUUUUGCACAAGGGAUAAAGGAAAGAAUUGAAGGGUUUACUGUCUAGCAUCGGACGCUGAAGAUGUUUGCAUCGAACACUGGGACUUAGUGUCUGAUGGCUAACCCUAAGGCAGCAGUGGCUCGCCCAGCAUAGCA